rnacentral:lncRNA from 1 species
GUCAAAGUAGCCAAACACUAAAAUAGGGGAAACUUUAAUGAAUAAACUAUACUAAUUGGCUAAGUAAAAAAUUCUGAAAAUUUUAUGGGAGAAAGGUACAUGAGUCUAGUUUCAAAUAAAAUUAACAGAACUUAAUUUGGAGUUUCAUAGAUCCAGAUAUAAAUGAUUUAGUAACUGUAACUCGAUAAAAUAGCUUAACCUAAACAUGUCUAAUUGUACAAUUAUAGUGUUUUAUCUUAAAAAGCAUGUUAGUAAUUACUUAUUAAUUUCAUAUGGACUUACUAAGCGUAAAGCUUACCCCUCCUCUCCAUUUCUUUAGUAAUGGCAGGUCGGCUCGGGGUUGGAAAUUGUCAGAGGCAGAAUCACACUAUCAAGCUAUCACUUUUGGGAGAAUUAAUUCAAAUAUUAGAAAUAUCAAGUGAGUGGCAUGUAUAAGAAGCUAGUUUUAUAACAUGUAUUAUUAUUAUGAUUUGGCCUAACCUAUUGAUCUACGUUGAGUUAUCGUAUAUGGCCAUGGGAUGUGGCCCAUAUUCACUUUGGUUUGUAAGCUUAAUUAAUCAUGUCAUGUUCUAUGUGUAGAGCCCAAUUUUGGCCCGGGCCCAAAUCAACAAAAACUAAAAGCACAAAAGAAAUAAAAUGUCCAAAUUUCAGUCCAUAUUACAAUCCAAAUCAAAGCCCAAACCCUCAACAGGCCCAAAACUAAAAACCCUAGCCCAAAAACUUAAAAAAUAUUUCAGAAACCUAACCCUAACAACCCUUAUGCGCCGCUCUUCCUUCGGUUACCCUGCUAGUGCCUCGUCCCGAGGCCUAGCAUUCUAGACUGCCACCACAUGUUCCCUUUUCGUUGACCUUGCCUAGCCUGCAACAGUGACGAGAGAAAGAGACAAAAACAGUGAUAGAAAGAAAGCAAAUAGAAGCAAAAGAAACUAAUAUUUUGUAAUAUUCAAUGGCUAUAAGAGCCAUUCCAAAACCAAUGUAAAAGGGGGGAUUUUGAAUACAAAAAAAACAUUGUAUUUCCACACGCACAUCAGAAAUCAAAAGCAAAAAAAAGGUUGAUUUUAAUUUCUUGUGUUACCUUUAUUCAUUUUUCAUUUUUGUUUUUUUUAAUUUUUUUUAUAAAUCUAUUUCAAACAAAAAGGGAGAAGAAGAACUUACCCGGAAUCUCGUGGCCGUGUCGUCGGGGGUUUCCUCCGUCAUUGGAUCUGGACUCGAAAUGGGGUUGAGGCCCUUUGCUUUCUUGCUUUCUAGUUUGAUAGAACUCUCCCUCUUAUUUUCUAAAGCAAAAUGGAAUUUCAAGUUGUUUUCAUCUAGUUCUUUUUUCUUUUUAUUGGUGUAUGAAAAUAAAGAAAGAAAGAAAGGGAGCUCACUUACUAGGCCUUCAUAGUAAUGAUCUCAGGCCAUUUUUUUUCCCCACACCGUCAGCUACCAGAUAUGGUGGUGGUCCGGCGUCAUAUUUGGGUGAAAAGCUAACAGAGAGGAGCUUUGGGGUUUUGUUUAGAAAAGGGAUUUGUAAGCUUAAAAAAAUAUAAAGGUUUCAAUCAAAAUUUAAAAGGCACCAUUAGGGGGGGAGGAAUAUGCGAGUGGCCUGAUCACAGGCUAAAUCCACGCAUUUUCACUUUAAGUGGGUAAUUUGAGUGGCUAGUCUCUUCCAUUUAUGUUGUCUUUUAAUUAAACCCUAUUCUGUUUCUUUCAUUUUUACCCUGAAAUU